ACUGCUUUGGCUACAGCGAGAGAGAAAAUGCCACAUGUGAUACGAUCCACUGCAGGGAAAGUAUAAUUUCUGUGCCUUCUUCUCAGAGAUUCCCGCUCCCCAGUCUGGAGGCCGAGAAGAGGGAAAGGCAAAGGAGCUGAGGUCGUGGGGCCCCCUUUCUGGGGCCCCGGGCACCUGGGAGGGACCGAGGCAGGGCCGACCCUUUCCAGGGGUCGCUCCUUCUCACACCCGGGUUCCUGAACUCCUCCUCACGCACCUGGAGCUGGCACGGGCCCUGGUGCCGCGCAUCUCAGUGCCCGGGAGCCGCGAAGGAAACGUGCGCACGUCCUCAGGCCGGCGCGGCGACGGGCUGAGUGCGCAGGCGCAGCGUCCAGGAGCCGCUCCGGGAUGCGGUCCGGCUGGAAACAGCCUCCUCUGCCUCCUUAGGGCCGCAGUCGCUUCUGCUUGGCCUGUGAGCUUCAGGGAGAAAAGAGGUUCCAGAGGUGCGUCCCAUAGUCCAGCGUCGGUUACCCCUCUCUGCACUUGAGGGAGGAAGAGAGUGGAGGGGUGAAGAAGGUUGCAUUUUCCAUUUAACCUUAAACCUCAGCUAGGGAAACCACCUUGCCUUGACCAGAGGGCCUCAAAGCUCUGCUGAAAAUUGGUUCUGAUUGUAGCUGUUUCAGCUUAAGAGAUGAGGACCUGAGAACAAGUAACAAGCACAUUUUUUACACCUAUUUCAAGUGCCUUCUCUCUCCCAGUCUGCCAGUUUCCAUCAGCCAAACUGCUCCUUAAAAGCCGUCUCUUAUAGAGACUUAAGAGAUUUUCCAUCUACCCCGACCCUUGAAAGGUAGUUUUGCAACUAAAUGGCAGGAACAUCAUCUAUUUCAUUUAUUUGCACAGCAGAUAGAAUACUAGCAUGGGCUUUGUGGGCUGUGCUGUCUCUGUUGCUGCUACUCAACUGUGUCAUUGUGGGGUGAAAGAAGCCAUAGACAAUAUGUAAAUUAAUAUGUAUA